CGGAGGGGGCUAGCGUUGUUCGGAAUUACUGGGCGUAAAGGGCGCGUAGGCGGCUUCGAUAGUCGGGUGUGAAAUGCCUGGGCUCAACCCAGGAAUUGCACUCGAAACUCCGAGGCUUGAGUGUGGGAGAGGUUGGUGGAAUUCCCAGUGUAGAGGUGAAAUUCGUAGAUAUUGGGAAGAACACCGGUGGCGAAGGCGGCCAACUGGACCACAACUGACGCUGAGGCGCGAAAGCGUGGGGAGCAAACAGGAUUAGAUACCCUGGUAGUCCACGCCGUAAACUAUGUGUGCUUGACGUCGGAGGGCAUAGCCCACCGGUGUCGGAGCUAACGCGGUAAGCACACCGCCUGGGGAGUACGGUCGCAAGAUUA
rnacentral:rRNA from 1 species